rnacentral:rRNA from 1 species
AGUGAACGCUGGCGGCAUGCCUAACACAUGCAAGUCGAACGGCAGCACCGUAAGAUCUUGCUCUUACGGGUGGCGAGGGGCGGACGGGUGAGGAAUACAUCGGAAUCUACUUUUUCGUGGGUGAUAACGUAGGAUAACUUACGCUAAUACCGCAUACGACCUAUGGGUGAAAGCAGGGGAGCUUCGGACCUUGCGCUAUUGAAUGAGCCGAUGGCGGAUGAGCUAGUUGGCGGGGGAAAGGCCCACCAAGGCGACGAUGCGUAGCUGGACUGAGAGGGUGAUCGGCCACACUGGGACUGAGACACGGCCCAGACUCCUACGGGAGGCAGCAGUGGGGAAUAUUCGGCAAUGGGCGAAAGCCUGAUGCAGCAACACCGCGUGGGUGAAGAAGGCCUUCGGGUCGUAAAGCUCUGUUGUUGGGGAAGAACAAGAGCAGGAGUAACUGGCGUUGUCGUGACGGUACCCAAAGAGAAAGCCACGGCUAACUACGUG